rnacentral:misc_RNA from 1 species
GAAAUGCGAUAAGUAAUGUGAAUUGCAGAAUUCAGUGAAUCAUCGAAUCUUUGAACGCACCUUGCGCCCUUUGGUAUUCCGAAGGGCAUGCCUGUUUGAGUGUCAUUAAAUUAUCAACCUUGUUCGCUUUUACGAGCUUGAGCGAGGCUUGGAUGUGAGGGCUUGCUGGCUUCCUUCAGUGGAUGGUCUGCUCCCUUUAAAUGCAUUAGUGGGAUCUCUUGUGGACCGUCACUUGGUGUGAUAAUUAUCUAUGCCAUUUGACUGUGAAGCAAAAUUAUGGGAACCUGCUUAUAACCGUCUCGCAAGGGACAAUUUAAUUGACUAUUUGACCUCAAAUCAGGUAGGACUACCCGCUGAACUUAA